GAAUUAUUUAUUCAGGGUAUUUGGGUAUUUCACUAUGAAUUACAUGCCAAUACUAUGUCAUGUUUUACUUAUUUCUAUGUCCUAUAACUAGCCUUCUAUGCCUAAAACUAAUCCAACUCUCUCGUUCUCCCAAAUUCCCAAAUCUCAUAAAAAUUCAUCCCCUUCAAAUUCUCUUAGAUCUCAGGGAGAUGAAGGGUUGUGAAGACUGAUAUUCCUUUCUAUCAUGUUAAGCCAUGAACACUGACGUAUGGAUCCCAAGGAUGAAGGAAUCAAAGCCAAUCGGAGAGUUGAAGAAGUUAUGCCCAGAGGACCUACUUUUGUUAUAGUUAUUUUGUUAGUAUAAGAGAGGUACAAUCGAAGUGGGCCUAAGACACAAAAUAAAUGGGUCAAAAACACCGGUCCAGAUGAACAGAAAUCGCAUUUGGACCAAACUCUCUCUUUCCCUCUCUUUUACAUUAUUUCGUCUUUAUUUGU